CCUACGGGGGGCAGCAGUAGGGAAUUUUCGGCAAUGGGGGGAACCCUGACCGAGCAAUGCCGCGUGAAUGAAGAAAUACUUCGGUAUGUAAAGUUCUUUUAUUUGGGAAGAACGGCUAGUGGAAAAGCUAGAGUGACGGUACCAAAUGAAUAAGCCCCGGCUAACUAUGUGCCAGCAGCCGCGGUAAUACAUAGGGGGCAAGCGUUAUCCGGAAUUAUUGGGCGUAAAGGGUGCGUAGGCGGUUAGUAAAGUUUAAGGUAUAAGCUCAUGGCUCAACCAUGGGAGGCUUAGAAACUGGCUAACUUGAGUGCAGUAGAGGCAAGUGGAAUUCCAUGUGUAGCGGUAAAAUGCGUAAAUAUAUGGAGGAACACCAGUAGCGAAGGCGGCUUGCUGGGCUGUAACUGACGCUGAGGCACGAAAGCGUGGGGAGCAAACAGGAUUAGAUACCCUGGUAGUCCACGCCGUAAACGAUGGGUACUAAGUGUUGGGGUAGCCCAGUGCUGAAGUUAACGUAAUAAGUACUCCGCCUGAGUAGUACGUGCGCAAGCAUGAAACUCAAAGGAAUUGACGGGACCCCGCACAAGCGGUGGAUCAUGUUGUUUAAUUCGAGGAUACGCGAAGAACCUUACCAGGUCUUGACAUACCAUGCAAAGCUAUAGAGAUAUAGUGGAGGUUAACAUGGAUACAGGUGGUGCAUGGUUGUCGUCAGCUCGUGUCGUGAGAUGUUGGGUUAAGUCCCGCAACGAGCGCAACCCUUAUUGCUAGUUGCCAUCAUUAAGUUGGGGACUCUAGCGAGACUGCCAGUGACAAACUGGAGGA
rnacentral:rRNA from 1 species